rnacentral:rRNA from 1 species
UACGUAGGGGGCAAGCGUUGUCCGGAUUUAUUGGGCGUAAAGAGCGUGUAGGCGGCCAGGUAGGUCUGUUGUGAAAACUCGAGGCUCAACCUCGAGACGCCGAUGGAAACCAUCUGGCUAGAGUCCGGAAGAGGAGAGUGGAAUUCCCGGUGUAGCGGUGAAAUGCGUAGAUAUCGGAAGGAACAUCAGUGGCGAAAGCGACUUCCUGGACCAGUACCGACGUUCAGGCACGAAAGCGUGGGGAGCAAACAGG